rnacentral:rRNA from 1 species
AUGCGUCCGAUUUCCCUUCAAAACUGCUCGGUCAAACUCUGCUCCAAGUGCCUUUCUAUUAGAGUUCAGCCGGUUAUUCGUGAUCUUGUCCAUGCGGAUCAAUCCGGCUUUAUCAAAGGACGAUGUAUCUCGGAAAACUUCAUUCUCGCAGCUGAUAUUGUGCAAGCUUGCCACAAAAGAAAAUGCCCGGUCUUAGUCUUAAAAUUGGAUUUUAGGAAAGCCUUUGACUCUGUCUCUUGGGAGAGUCUUUAUCGUAUCCUUCAAGCCAAAGGCUUUUCAGAAACUUGGAUUCGUUGGAUUAUGAUGCUGAACGACUCUGGCCAAUCGGCUAUUCUUCUUAAUGGCGUUCCCGGGAACUGGAUUCAAUGUAAAAAUGGUCUCAGACAAGGCGACCCCAUUUCACCUUACCUCUUCAUCAUUAUUGCCGAUAUCCUCCAAUGCAUGAUC